UAGGGAAUCUUCUGCAAUGGACGAAAGUCUGACCGAGCAACGCCGCGUGAGUGAAGAAGGUUUUCGGAUCGUAAAACUCUGUUGUUAGAGAAGAACAAGGACGUUAGUAACUGAACGUCCCCUGACGGUAUCUAACCAGAAAGCCACGGCUAACUACGUGCCAGCAGCCGCGGUAAUACGUAGGUGGCAAGCGUUGUCCGGAUUUAUUGGGCGUAAAGCGCGCGCAGGCGGUUUCUUAAGUCUGAUGUGAAAGCCCCCGGCUCAACCGGGGAGGGUCAUUGGAAACUGGGAGACUGGAGUGCAGAAGGGGAGAGUGUAAUUCCGUGUAUAGCGGUGAAAUGCGUAGAUAUAUGGAGGAACACCAGUGGCGAGGGCGGCUCUCUGGUCUGUAACUGACGCUGAGGCUCGAAAGCGUGGGGAGCAAACAAG
rnacentral:rRNA from 1 species